rnacentral:rRNA from 1 species
UACAGAGGGUGCGAGCGUUGUCCGGAAUCACUGGGCGUAAAGGGCGCGUAGGUGGCCCGACAAGUCUGUGGUGAAAGCUCGACGCUCAACGUCGAGUCGGCCAUAGAUACUGUUGGGCUGGAGCACUGUAGAGGCUCAUGGAAUUCCGGGUGUAGCGGUGGAAUGCGUAGAGAUCCGGAAGAACACCGGUGGCGAAGGCGGUGAGCUGGGCAGUAGCUGACACUGAUGCACGAAAGCGUGGGGAGCAAAACGG